UUUGCCGGGGUGUGCAGGCCCUAUGGCCAACUAACCCUAAUGGCGGCCGCGCCCCUCACGCUCGCCCGCUGUUUUACUCGCUGACUUUCAGCGGGCAAAGGAAGCGGCCUAUGGGAAGGGGGUGGGGGAAAAGAGUUCCGGCCUCAAGAAAAAAAAAAAAAGCCAGCGAGGGGGAUCCACACCCCGGCCCACCCUGGGGUCCCUGUCCCUUUUCCCCGACCGCGGAUGCUCCGGCCCUCGCCCGCCGUGGAGGCCGCGGUCGGCGGGCUCAGCGCCGCUGCCGCCGCGAAGAGCUCGUCUCUGUCAGCCUCGGCGGGGCCGGCAGCGCGGGGCAGCCGCGGGGCCCCAGCAGAGCAAAACGGGCGCGGCGCCGCUGGGCGCUGAGCAGCCGCCGCCCCCUGAGCCGUGGGGUGCGUGGCGGGCGCCGCCCCGACACCC
ensembl:misc_RNA Telomerase-vert Vertebrate telomerase RNA